ACACAAAAACAAAAAAUGGCUAGCUUGAUAACUGCUUUACAGAUUAUUGAAAUAGUAGGUCUUAUGCACAGUAGGUACUAGCGCCAGAAAUAGUUCAUAAAUACUGACACCUGAAGGGUUGUCAAAAUGUCAAAUAUCAAAACUCAUUAAAUAUUCAAGUUCAAGUUAAACAAAUAUCGUUUACCCAUAAAAACAAGUGACCAGUUCUAUUGUAUUUUUGUCGCAAACAGAGUAUCGGACAGAAAAAAAAAGGAAAUACAGGACGGAAUCAGAAAAGAAGGAACACAAAAUAGGUUAACCAAGGAUAUCUACGUCGAGGGUGGCUUCUGGAUUGAUUGGUGGCAGGCAGCGUACCGCUUCCACCGGAUUGUCUGAAGCUCAGCGUAGAAAACGAUGGUGACAGGAACAAGAACGAUACCGCAACGACUGUGUCGACAAAGUUGGAAUCCGGAACUCAGGAUAACUGUCCAGGCAUCAAGCUGAUGGUGGCUGUGAUAUGUCCGCACCAGGGGGUGGCGGAAUGACUUUCCACGAUUUACGUUACCGUCUGAUAUAUUAUGUAUAGAUGUUACACCAAAAAGAACAAGAAAAGGAAAAGGCUCUAACGGCGUUAAACGAGCCAAAGUAAUGAUCGGUGUCACAUGUGCUUCCAGAUCCGCUGGGCGAAAACCCAAAAUAUUCCCAAGGGAAAUAAUAGAACACCCUUCUGGUAAUAAAUUUAGGUAAUGGAAUCUUCAAAGUAAGUAGAUCCUUCCAAAUUUAAAGGCUUAAAAUUUUCUCACAAAAUGAAGAUGUAGCAAAUGCACACGACAACCUCUUGUUCAAAAGUGACCGGAAAAGAAAAGAUAAGAAGCGAAGGAAUUUUAUCAAAA